CCCCUCCCCCUCCGGACAGCGGUCAGUGAGAGUCACCUGUGUGUAGGAUGAUGGCCGCAUGAAGUGAAUCCCUGGAACUAUCCCCCCCGUCGAAAAAGGCGAAGUCUGCCGUAUGGGAAUUUCUCGGCGCAGCUGCAGCCCGCUCCCCGCUCCCCGCUCCCUGCUCCCCGAUCUAUCCGAAGAUAAGCCUUCUCAAAUCUCCCUCCGACAUCAUCUGGCUCUUCACUGACUUCUCAGGUGCCAGAGAUAAUGCGGCUGGUCAUGUGAUGGACAUGGGAUGCCAGGGAGGUCUGAGCAGCCGAGAACAGAACCAGCGGCCUUCAGCCCAGUCUGGAAUAGCAGUGUUAACAAUCAUCAUGCGUACAGCGAUGCAACCACGAAAAGCAUUGACGUCACUUUACUGUACAACUGCAGGAAUAACACCACUGACCCAAUUCACAAGGAUCUUGAAUUUAGAUUGCAGUUAAAGAAAGAUCAUCACUUUACAUGUGAUUUUAAUUCAGAACCUUAUUCUAAGUGUUCCUCCACUCAAAUUGUACUUGUUCGCUCAGAACCCGGUGUCACACAGAGUCUCAUGUCAGCGGUUUUCACAGAUCCCACAGUCACACACGUCCAGUCUGAUCAUAGCCACAGGUUGAGGUGUUAGAUAAUAAUAUUUAAUGUUUUAUCAACACAUGGAUCGUUUCUUAAUUAAACAUACUUAUUUGAUAAUGACACCUAACAAACCUAUUCCCAGAUCAUGAUGUAAAAAUAAAUAAAUAAAUGAAUAAAAUUAAUAAAUUUUGUUAUGAUGAAAAAUGGGAAUGUUAUGAUACUUCUAGAGUAUAUUUCACACUUAUAUGUAAAAUACCAGUAAAUAUAACUACACACAAAAAAUUCAAACUG